GUCCUGUUCGUCUAGUGGCCUAGGACAUCGGCCUUUCACGCCGGCAACACGGGUUCGAUUCCCGUACAGGACGCCA
rnacentral:tRNA from 1 species